GAGUGACCUCGACCUGCUGGCAGAAGAGGAGACUGCAGAGGUGUCUGUAAGGCCAGGCAGCAGUUCAGAGCACCCCAAGUCCAGCAGCGCUUCCCCCCACUGAAGAACACCCCCCAGGAGGGGGAGAAAGCGCAGCCAGGAAAAAUCUCCAGCAAGGAGACAAGCAAAGAGAUUGCUUCCCGCCUUCCUCGAGCAGAGAAUGGAAGGACAGUGGCCCCACCAGCAGAGAUGGCAGUGCCCACUGUCCAGUCACUACGGGCAAGACAGGUCCUGGGAACCUUGGAGUCCUACAAGGUGUGCCGGGAAGGAUGGAGGAAGAAGGUGGAGGAAAACAGGCUCCUUCCUGCCAGACCCAAGGAGCGCCUCUGCUUUGUGAAGAAGAUGGAGCUCCAGGAGGCCAGAGGAAAACACAAGAACAUGUGAGAGCACACCACGGGCUCACAGUUCAGCCAAUUCCUACCGCGCCCACUCACACCGUGGCAAUAAACAACGAAGCCCCAGGAUUGACAGCAGUGGGGCUGAGAGGAGGCACACUGAUACAGGAGCUGCCUCCCUUGUUACCACCAUUGUCUCUGCUGUAACAGCAAAGCAGAGCCAUUCUUAGUACAAGAAGUGCC
ensembl:lncRNA